rnacentral:tRNA from 1 species
GCAUCGGUGGCUUAGUGGUAGAAUGCUCGCCUGCCACGCGGGCGGCCGGGGUUCGAUUCCCGGCCGAUGCA